GACGAACGCUGGCGGCGUGCUUAACACAUGCAAGUCGAACGGAAAGGCCCUGCUUUUGUGGGGUGCUCGAGUUGCGAACGGGUGAGUAACACUUAAGUAACCUGCCCUUGACUUUGGGAUAACUUAAGGAAACUUGGUCUAAUACCGGAUAGGAGCUCCUGCUGUUUGGUGGGGGUUGGAAAGUUUCGGCGGUUGGGGAUGUACUCGCGGCUUAUCGGCUUGUUGGUGGGGUAGUGGCUUACCAAGGCUUUGACGGGUAGCCGGCCUGAGAGGGUGACCGGCCACAUUGGGACGGAGAUACGGCCCAGACUCCUACGGGAGGCAGGAGUGGGGAAUAUUGCACAAUGGGCGGAAGCCUGAUGCAGCAACGCCGCGUGCGGGAUGACGGCAUUCGGGUUGUAAACAGCUUUCGCCUGUGACGAAGCGUGAGUGACGGUAAUGGGUAAAGAAGCACCGGCUAACUACGU
rnacentral:rRNA from 1 species